rnacentral:rRNA from 1 species
AACGAACGCUGGCGGCAGGCCUAACACAUGCAAGUCGAACGCCGUAGCAAUACGGAGUGGCAGACGGGUGAGUAACACGUGGGAACGUACCCUUCGGUCCGGGAUAACUCAGGGAAACUUGAGCUAAUACCGGAUACGUCCGAGAGGAGAAAGAUUUAUUGCCGAGGGAUCGGCCCGCGUCUGAUUAGCUUGUUGGUGAGGUAACGGCUCACCAAGGCGACGAUCAGUAGCUGGUCNGAGAGGAUGAUCAGCCACAUUGGGACUGAGACACGGCCCAAACUCCUACGGGAGGCAGCAGUGGGGAAUAUUGGACAAUGGGCGCAAGCCUGAUCCAGCCAUGCCGCGUGAAGGAUGAAGUCCUCUGGAUUGUAAACUUCUUUUAUAUGGGAACGAAAAAAGGGAAUUACUUUCUCACUUGACGGUACCAUAGGAAUAAGCCACCGGCUAACUCCGUGCCAGCCGCCGCGGUAAC